ACAGCAGCAGCCGCGGUAAUACGAAGGGUGCAAGCGUUACUCGGAAUUACUGGGCGUAAAGCGUGCGUAGGUGGUGGUUUAAGUCCGUUGUGAAAGCCCUGGGCUCAACCUGGGGAUUGCAGUGGAUACUGGGUCACUAGAGUGUGGUAGAGGAUAGUGGAAUUUCCGGUGUAGCAGUGAAAUGCGUAGAGAUCGGAAGGAACAUCUGUGGCGAAGGCGACUAUCUGGGCCAACACUGACACUGAGGCACGAAAGCGUGGGGAGCAAACAGGAUUAGAUACCCGAGUAGUCCCUGUCUCUUAUAC
rnacentral:rRNA from 1 species